AGUGAACGCUGGCGGUAGGCCUAACACAUGCAAGUCGAACGGCAGCACAGUAAGAGCUUGCUCUUACGUGUGGCGAGUGGCGGACGGGUGAGUUAUACAUCGGAAUCUACUUUUUCGUGGGUGAUAACGUAGGGAAACUUACUCUAAUACCGCAUACGUCCUACUUGUGAAAGCAGGGGAUCUUCGGACCUUUCGCGAUUGAAUGAGCCGAUGUCGGAUUAGCUAGUUGGCGGGUUAAAGGCCUACCAAGGCGACGAUCCGUAUCUGGUCUGAGAGGAUGAUCAGACACACUGGAAGAGAGAAACGGCACAGACUCCUACGGGGAGAAGCAGUGGGGAAUAUUGGACGAUGGGCGAAAGCCUGAUACAGCAAUACCGCGUGGGUGAAGAGGGAGUUCGGGUUGUAAAGCGAUUUUGUUGGGAAAGAAAAGAAGCAGGUUAAUACCCGGCUGUUAUGACGGUACCGAAAGAAUAAGCACCGGCUAACUUCGUG
rnacentral:rRNA from 1 species